rfam:Mus musculus chromosome 7, GRC primary reference assembly.
GGGUCUAUGAUGAUUCCCAGUCAAACAUUCCUUGGAAAAGCUGAACAAAAUGAGUGAAAACUCUCUACCGCCACAGUCAUCGGAACUGAGGUCC